rnacentral:rRNA from 1 species
UACGGAGGGGGCUAGCGUUGUUCGGAAUUACUGGGCGUAAAGCGCGCGUAGGUGGACUUGCAAGUCGGGGGUGAAAGCCCGAGGCUCAACCUCGGAACUGCCUUCGAUACUGCGGGUCUCGAGUCCGGGAGAGGUGAGUGGAAUUCCUAGUGUAGAGGUGAAAUUCGUAGAUAUUAGGAAGAACACCAAUGGCGAAGGCAGCUCGCUGGGACGUGACUGACGCUGAGACGCGAAAGCGUGGGGAGCAAACAGG